ensembl:snRNA U1 U1 spliceosomal RNA
AUACUUACCUGGCAGGGGAGAUACCAUAAUCAUGAAGGUGGUUUUCCUGGGGCGAGGCUUAACCAUUGCACUCUGGAUGUGCUGACCCCAGUGAUUUCCCCAAAUGUGGGAACCUUGACUGCAUAAUUUGUGAUAGUGGGGGACUGUGUUUGCGUUUUCCCCUG